CUGAAACAGGUAGGGUUAACAAAGUGUCCAAGGUGAAAUUACUUCCGGGCGUACCUAAACAACCGGGUGGAGUUGAGUGUGGCUAUUAUGUGAUGCGAUAUAUGAAAGAUAUUAUAAAUGAUGACACUCUUUCAUUUUCAACCAAGUGGGCGGCAAAGAGUCGGAACUCAAAUAUCCAAGAGCAACUUGAUGAGGUGCGCAUUGA